UGUUGAUGUGUCCAAGGUGGAGCUAGUGUAAUAUUGUAGUGGCUGUGUUGAUGUGUCCAAGGUGGAGCUAGUGUAAUAUUGUAGUGGCUGUGUUGAUGUGUCCAGGGUGGAGCUAGUGUAAUAUUGUAGUGGCUGUGAUGAUGUGUUGUAGGUGGAGCUAGUGUAAUAUUGUAGUGGUUGUGUUGAUGUGUUGUAGGUGGAGCUAGUGUAAUAUUGUAGUGGCUGUGAUGAUGUGUUGUAGGUGGAGCUAGUGUAAUAUUGUAGUGGCUGUGUUGCUGUGUUGUAGGUGGACCUAGUGUUAUACUGCAGUGGCUGUGUUGAUGUGUUGUAGGUGGAGCUAGUGUAAUAUUGUAGUGGCUGUGUUGCUGUGUUGUAGGUGGAGCUAGUGUAAUAUUGUAGUGGCUGUGAUGAUGUGUUGUAGGUGGAGCUAGUGUAAUAUUGUAGUGGCUGUGUUGCUGUGUUGUAGGUGGAGCUAGUGUAAUAUUGUAGUGGCUGUGUUGAUGUGUUGUAGGUGGAGCUAGUGUAAUAUUGUAGUGGCUGUGUUGAUGUGUUGUAGGUGGAGCUAGUGUAAUAUUGUAGUGGCUGUGUUGCUGUGUUGUAGGUGGAGCUAGUGUAAUAUUGUAGUGGCUGUGAUGAUGUGUUGUAGGUGGAGCUAGUGUAAUAUUGUAGUGGCUGUGUUGCUGUGUUGUAGGUGGAGCUAGUGUAAUAUUGUAGUGGCUGUGUUGCUGUGUUGUAGGUGGAGCUAGUGUAAUAUUGUAGUGGCUGUGUUGAUGUGUUGUAGGUGGAGCUAGUGUUAUAUUGUAGUGGCUGUGUUGCUGUGUUGUAGGUGGAGCUAGUGUAAUAUUGUAGUGGCUGUGUUGAUGUGUUGUAGGUGGACCUAGUGUUAUACUGCAGUGGCUGUGUUGAUGUGUUGUAGGUGGAGCUAGUGUAAUAUUGUAGUGGCUGUGUUGCUGUGUUGUAGGUGGAGCUAGUGUAAUAUUGUAGUGGCUGUGUUGAUGUGUUGUAGGUGGAGCUAGUGUAAUAUUGUAGUGGCUGUGUUGAUGUGUUGUAGGUGGAGCUAGUGUAAUAUUGUAGUGGCUGUGUUGCUGUGUUGUAGGUGGAGCUAGUGUAAUAUUGUAGUGGCUGUGUUGAUGUGUUGUAGGUGGAGCUAGUGUAAUAUUGUAGUGGCUGUGUUGAUGUGUUGUAGGUGGAGCUAGUGUAAUAUUGUAGUGGCUGUGUUGCUGUGUUGUAGGUGGAGCUAGUGUAAUAUUGUAGUGGCUGUGUUGCUGUGUUGUAGGUGGAGCUAGUGUAAUAUUGUAGUGGCUGUGUUGAUGUGUUGUAGGUGGAGCUAGUGUAAUAUUGUAGUGGCUGUGUUGGUGUGUUGUAGGUGGAGCUAGUGUAAUAUUGUAGUGGCUGUGUUGAUGUGUUGUAGGUGGAGCUAGUGUAAUAUUGUAGUGGCUGUGAUGAUGUGUUGUAGGUGGACCUAGUGUAAUAUUGUAGUGGCUGUGAUGAUGUGUUGUAGGUGGAGCUAGUGUAAUAUUGUAGUGGCUGUGUUGAUGUGUUGUAGGUGGAGCUAGUGUAAUAUUGUAGUGGCUGUGUUGAUGUGUUGUAGGUGGAGCUAGUGUAAUAUUGUAGUGGCUGUGAUGAUGUGUUGUAGGUGGAGCUAGUGUAAUAUUGUAGUGGCUGUGAUGAUGUGUCCAAGGUGGAGCUAGUGUAAUAUUGUAGUGGCUGUGUUGAUGUGUUGUAGGUGGAGCUAGUGUAAUAUUGUAGUGGCUGUGUUGAUGUGUCCAAGGUGGAGCUAGUGUAGUAUUGUAGUGGCUGUGUUGAUGUGUCCAGGGUGGAGCUAGUGUAAUAUUGUAGUGGCUGUGAUGAUGUGUUGUAGGUGGAGCUAGUGUAAUAUUGUAGUGGCUGUGUUGCUGUGUUGUAGGUGGAGCUAGUGUAAUAUUGUAGUGGCUGUGAUGAUGUGUUGUAGGUGGAGCUAGUGUAAUAUUGUAGUGGCUGUGAUGAUGUGUUGUAGGUGGAGCUAGUGUAAUAUUGUAGUGGCUGUGUUGAUGUGUCCAAGGUGGAGCUAGUGUAGUAUUGUAGUGGCUGUGUUGAUGUGUCCAGGGUGGAGCUAGUGUAAUAUUGUAGUGGCUGUGAUGAUGUGUUGUAGGUGGAGCUAGUGUAAUAUUGUAGUGGCUGUGUUGAUGUGUUGUAGGUGGUUCCUUCAACCGGACUGUGUCCAGGGUGGACCUUGUGUAAUAUUGUAGUGGCUGUGU
rnacentral:lncRNA from 1 species